CCUACGGGUGGCUGCAGUGGGGAAUAUUGGACAAUGGGGGCAACCCUGAUCCAGCCAUGCCGCGUGUGUGAAGAAGGCCCUCGGGUUGUAAAGCACUUUCAGUGAGGAAGAACGCCUGGUGGUUAAUACCCAUCAGGAAAGACAUCACUCACAGAAGAAGCACCGGCUAACUCCGUGCCAGCAGCCGCGGUAAUACGGAGGGUGCGAGCGUUAAUCGGAAUUACUGGGCGUAAAGCGCGCGUAGGUGGCUUGAUAAGCCGGUUGUGAAAGCCCCGGGCUCAACCUGGGAACGGCAUCCGGAACUGUCAAGCUAGAGUGCAGGAGAGGAAGGUAGAAUUCCCGGUGUAGCGGUGAAAUGCGUAGAGAUCGGGAGGAAUAUCAGUGGCGAAGGCGGCCUUCUGGACUGACACUGACACUGAGGUGCGAAAGCGUGGGUAGCAAACAGGAUUAGAUACCCCUGUAGUC
rnacentral:rRNA from 1 species